CCAUGGUUAGCUCAGUUGGUAGAGCUCCACCUGUAAUGGAGAGGUCCCGGGUUCGAUACCCAGACCAGGCG
rnacentral:tRNA from 1 species